CCUACGGGUGGCAGCAGUGGGGAAUAUUGCACAAUGGGCGCAAGCCUGAUGCAGCCAUGCCGCGUGUGUGAAGAAGGCCUUCGGGUUGUAAAGCACUUUCAGCGAGGAGGAAGGGUAAUGUGUUAAUAAGACAUUGCAUUGACGUUACUCGCAGAAGAAGCACCGGCUAACUCCGUGCCAGCAGCCGCGGUAAUACGGAGGGUGCAAGCGUUAAUCAGAAUUACUGGGCGUAAAGCGCACGCAGGCGGUUUGUUAAGUCAGAUGUGAAAUCCCCGCGCUCAACGUGGGAACGGCAUUUGAGACUGGCAAGCUAGAGUCUUGUAGAGGGGGGUAGAAUUCCAGGUGUAGCGGUGAAAUGCGUAGAGAUCUGGAGGAAUACCAGUGGCGAAGGCGGCUCCCUGGACAAAGACUGACGCUCAGGUGCGAAAGCGUGGGGAGCAAACAGGAUUAGAUACCCCGGUAGUC
rnacentral:rRNA from 1 species